rnacentral:rRNA from 1 species
AGAGUUUGAUCCUGGCUCAGAUUGAACGCUGGCGGCGUGCUUAACACAUGCAAGUCGAACGUGAAAGUCCUUCGGGACGAGUAAAGUGGCGCACGGGUGAGUAACGCGUGGAUAAUCUACCCUUAAGAUGGGGAUAACGGCUGGAAACGGUCGCUAAUACCGAAUACGCUCCCGAUUUUAUCAUUGGGGGGAAAGAUGGCCUCUGCCUGCAAGCUAUCGCUUAAGGAUGAGUCCGCGUCCCAUUAGCUAGUUGGCGGGGUAACGGCCCACCAAGGCAACGAUGGGUAGCCGGUCUGAGAGGAUGACCGGCCACACUGGAACUGGAACACGGUCCAGACUCCUACGGGAGGCAGCAGUGGGGAAUAUUGCGCAAUGGGCGAAAGCCUGACGCAGCGACGCCGCGUGAGGGAUGAAGGUUCUCGGAUCGUAAACCUCUGUCAGGGGGGAAGAAACCCCCUCGUGUGAAUAAUGCGAGGGCUUGACGGUACCCCCAAAGGAAGCACCGGCUAACUCCGUGCCAGCAGCCGCGGU